GAUGAACGCUGGCGGCGUGCUUAACACAUGCAAGUCGAACGGAAAGGCCCAAGCUUGCUUGGGUGCUCGAGUGGCGAACGGGUGAGUAACACGUGGGUGAUCUGCCCUGCACUUUGGGAUAAGCCUGGGAAACUGGGUCUAGUACCGGAUAGGACCAUCGUUUAGUGUCGGUGGUGGAAAGUUUUUCGGUGUGGGAUGAGCUCGCGGCCUAUCAGCUUGUUGGUGGGGUAAUGGCCUACCAAGGCGUCGACGGGUAGCCGGCCUGAGAGGGUGUACGGCCACAUUGGGACUGAGAUACGGCCCAGACUCCUACGGGAGGCAGCAGUGGGGAAUAUUGCACAAUGGGCGCAAGCCUGAUGCAGCGACGCCGCGUGGGGGAUGACGGCCUUCGGGUUGUAAACUCCUUUCGCCAAGGACGAAGCGUUUUGUGACGGUACUUGGAGAAGAAGCACCGGCUAACUACGUG
rnacentral:rRNA from 1 species